AUAUAUUUAUUACAUACAUUUUUCCAUUAUUAAAGUGGCUGGAGUUGAGUCAGUAUGUUGGUAGCAGCCACUCAAUGUUAGUGAUGGCUGUUUAACAGUCUGAUGGCCUUGAGAUAGAAGCUGUUUUUCAGUCUCUCGGUCCCAGCUUUGAUGCACCUGUACUGACCUCGCCUUCUGGAUGAUAGUGGGGUGAACAGGCAGUGACUCAGGUGUUGUUGUCCUGUUGUCUUUGUCUACUCAGUUCCAGGUUGGAUGGUGUUUUCAGUUCCAGGUUGGAUGGUGUUUUCAGUUCCAGGUUGGAUGGUGAUUUCAGGUUCCAGGUUGGAUUUCAGGUUCCAGGUUGGAUGGUGUUUUCAGGUUCCAGGUUAGAUGGUGUUUUCAGUUCCAAGUUGGAUGGUGUUUUUAGGUUCCAGGUUGGAUGGUGUUUUUAGGUUCCAGGUUGGAUGAUGUUUUCAGGUUCCAGGUUGGAUGGUGACUUCAGUUCCAGGUUGGAUGGUGUUUUCAGUUCCAGGUUGGAUGGUGUUUUCAGUUCCAGGUUGGAUGGUGUUUUCAGUUCCAGGUUGGAUGGUGUUUUCAGUUCCAGGUUGGAUGGUGUUUUCAGUUCCAGGUUGGAUGGUGAUUUCAGUUCCAGGUUGGAUGGUGUUUUCAGGAUCCAGGUUGGAUGGUGUUUUCAGGUUCCAGGUUGGAUGGUGUUUUCAGGAUCCAGGUUAGAUGGUGUUUUCAGUUCCAGGUUGGAUGGUGUUUUCAGGUUCCAGAUUGGAUGGUGUUUUCAGUUCCAGGUUGGAUGGUGUUUUCAGGUUCCAUGUUGGAUGGUGUUUUCAGUUCCAGGUUGGAUGUUGAUUUCAGGUUCCAGGUUGGAUGUUGAUUUCAGGUUGGAUGGUGUUUUCAGUUCCAGGUUGGAUGGUGAUUUCAGGUUCCAGGUUGGAUGGUGAUUUCAGGUUCCAGGUUGGAUGGUGUUUUCAGUUCCAGGUUAGAUGGUGUUUUCAGUUCCAGGUUGGAUGUUGAUUUCAGUUCCAGGUUGGAUGUUGAUUUCAGGUUGGAUGGUGUUUUCAGUUCCAGGUUGGAUGGUGAUUUCAGGUUCCAGGUUGGAUGGUGAUUUCAGGUUGGAUGGUGUUUUCAGGAUCCAGGUUGGAUGGUGUUUUCAGGUUCCAGGUUGGAUGGUGUUUUCAGGAUCCAGGUUAGAUGGUGUUUUCAGUUCCAAGUUGGAUGGUGUUUUCAGUUCCAGGUUGGAUGGUGUUUUCAGGUUCCAGAUUGGAUGGUGUUUUCAGUUCCAGGUUGGAUGGUGUUUUCAGGUUCCAGAUUGGAUGGUGUUUUCAGUUCCAGGUUGGAUGGUGUUUUCAGGUUCCAGGUUGGAUGGUGUUUUCAGUUCCAGGUUGGAUGGUGUUUUCAGGAUCCAGGUUGGAUGGUGUUUUCAGUUCCAGGUUGGAUGGUGUUUUCAGUUCCAGGUUGGAUGGUGUUUUCAGUUCCAGGUUGGAUGGUGAUUUCAGUUCCAGGUUGGAUGGUGUUUUCAGUU
rnacentral:lncRNA from 1 species